CUGUUAGUUUUAUAGACUGAAAUCCUCUAUUUAGCUACAGGAUAGGUACAGCUCAGGUACAACUCUGUCAUACUGCCCUGCCAAUGUGCUUGUCCUAGAGAGACCACUUCUGGAGUAGAAGCUAGCAGCUUUAGGCUCAUAGACCUCAUAAAGCACCACUCUA
rnacentral:sRNA from 1 species